GUGGGGAAUAUUGCACAAUGGGGGAAACCCUGAUGCAGCCAUGCCGCGUGUGUGAAGAAGGCCUUCGGGUUGUAAAGCUCUGUCUUUGGGGACGAUAAUGACGGUACCCAAGGAGGAAGCCACGGCUAACUACGUGCCAGCAGCCGCGGUAAUACGUAGGUGGCAAGCGUUGUCCGGAUUUACUGGGCGUAAAGGGAGCGUAGGUGGAUAUUUAAGUGGGAUGUGAAAUCCCCGGGCUUAACCUGGGGGCUGCAUUCCAAACUGGAUGUCUAGAGUGCAGGAGAGGAGAGUGGAAUUCCUAGUGUAGCGGUGAAAUGCGUAGAGAUUAGGAAGAACACCAGUGGCGAAGGCGACUCUCUGGACUGUAACUGACACUGAGGCUCGAAAGCGUGGGGAGCAAACAGGAUUAGAUACCCCGGUAGUCC
rnacentral:rRNA from 1 species